UACGGAGGGGGCUAGCGUUGUCCGAAGUUACUGGGCGUAAAGCGCGCGUAGGCGGGUUGGUAAGUCCGCUGUGAAAGCCCGGAGCUUAACUCCGGAGGGUCGGUGGAUACUGCCAGUCUUGAAGGUGCUAGGGGGAGAUGGAAUUACCGGUGUAGCGGUGAAAUGCGUAGAUAUCGGUAGGAACACCAGUGGCGAAGGCGGUCUCCUGGGGCAUUCUUGACGCUGAGGCGCGGAAAGCUGGGGGGAGCAAACGGGAUUAGAAACCCCUA
rnacentral:rRNA from 1 species